UACGUAGGGGGCAAGCGUUGUCCGGAUUUAUUGGGCGUAAAGAGCGUGUAGGCGGCCUGGUAGGUCAGCUGUGAAAACUCGAGGCUCAACCUCGAGACGCCGGUUGAAACCAUCAGGCUAGAGUCCGGAAGAGGAGAGUGGAAUUCCAGGUGUAGCGGUGAAAUGCGCAGAUAUCUGGAAGAACACCCGUGGCUAAGGCGGCUCUCUAGUACGGUACUGACGCUGAGACGCGAAAGCGUGGGAGCGAACAGG
rnacentral:rRNA from 1 species